GACGUAGGGCGCGAGCGUUGUCCGGAUUUAUUGGGCGUAAAGAGCUCGUAGGCGGUUUGUCGCGUCGUCUGUGAAAACCCACAGCUCAACUGUGGGCUUGCGGUGGAUACGGGCAGGCUAGAGUUCGGUAGGGGAGACUGGAAUUCCUGGUGUAGCGGUGAAAUGCGCAGAUAUCAGGAGGAACACCGGUGGCGAAGGCGGUUCUCUGGGCCGAUACUGACGCUGAGGAGCGAAAGCGUGGGGAGCGAACAGG
rnacentral:rRNA from 1 species